rnacentral:rRNA from 1 species
GUGGGGAAUAUUGGACAAUGGGCGAAAGCCUGAUCCAGCCAUGCCGCGUGAGUGAUGAAGGCCUUAGGGUUGUAAAGCUCUUUCAGUAGGGAAGAUAAUGACGGUACCUACAGAAGAAGCCCCGGCUAACUUCGUGCCAGCAGCCGCGGUAAUACGAAGGGGGCUAGCGUUGUUCGGAUUUACUGGGCGUAAAGCGCACGUAGGCGGAUUGGUCAGUUAGAGGUGAAAUCCUGGGGCUCAACUCCAGAACUGCCUUUAAUACUGCCAGUCUAGAGUCCAGAAGAGGUGAGUGGAACUCCUAGUGUAGAGGUGGAAUUCGUAGAUAUUAGGAAGAACACCAGUGGCGAAGGCGGCUCACUGGUCUGGUACUGACGCUGAGGUGCGAAAGCGUGGGGAGCAAACAGGAUUAGAUACCCUUGUAGUCC